rnacentral:rRNA from 1 species
UGAGUACGAGCUGCUACGGCAGCGAAGUGGGUGAUGUCAUGCUUCCAAGAAAAGCCCUAUACCCGUUAAGGCAUGAUGGCCUGUACCCGAAACCGACACAGGUGGGGUGGUAGAGAAUACCGAGGGGCGCGAGGUAACUCUCUCUAAGGAACUCGGCAAAAUGGCCCCGUAACUUCGGGAGAAGGGGUGCCACCGCAAGGUGGUCGCAGUGAAGAGGCCCAGGCGACUGUUUACCAAAAACACAGGUCUCCGCUAAGUCGCAAGACGAUGUAUGGGGGCUGACGCCUGCCCAGUGCCGGAAGGUUAAGGAAGCUGGUCAGCGUAAGCGAAGCUAGCGACUGAAGCCCCGGUGAACGGCGGCCGUAACUAUAACGGUCCUAAGGUAGCGAAAUUCCUUGUCGGGUAAGUUCCGACCCGCACGAAAGGCGUAACGAUCUGGGCGCUGUCUCGGAGAGAGGCUCGGCGAAAUAGAAUUGUCUGUGAAGAUGCGGACUACGUGCACCCGGACAGAAAGACCCUAUGAAGCUUUACUGUAGCUUGGUAUUGUGCUCGGGCUCGGAAUGCGCAGGAUAGGUGGGAGGCUAUGAACCAUUGCUUGCGGGUGAUGGUGAGCCACUGGUGAGAUACCACUCUUUCCGAGCUAGAGUUCUAACAGCCACCCGUUAUCCGGGGGCUGGACAGUAUCAGGUGGGCAGUUUGACUGGGGCGGUCGCCUCCUAAAAGGUAACGGAGGCGCGCAAAGGUUUGCUCAGGCUGGUUGGAAAUCAGCCGACGAGUGUAAAAGCAGGAGCAAGCUUGACUGUGAGACCUACAAGUCGAACAGGGAGGAAACUCGGCUUUAGUGAUCCGACGGUUCUGCGUGGAAGGGCCGUCGCUCAACGGAUAAAAGUUACUCUAGGAUAACAGGCUGAUCUCCCCUAAGAGUUCACAUCGACGGGGAGGUUUGGCACCUCGAUGUCGGCUCAUCGCAACCUGGGGCUGAAGUCGGUCCCAAGGGUUGGGCUGUUCGCCCAUUAAAGCGGUACGCGAGCUGGGUUCAGAACGUCGUGAGACAGUUCGGUCCAUAUCCGGUGCAUGCGCAGGAAUAUUGAGAGGAUUUCUCCCUAGUACGAGAGGACCGGGAGGAACGCACCUCUGGUGUACCAGUUAUCGUGCCAACGGUAAACGCUGGGUAGCCAUGUGCGGAGAGGAUAACCGCUGAAAGCAUCUAAGUGGGAAGCCCACCUCAAGAUGAGUAUUCCCAUGGGGUAACCCAGUAAGGUCACGGGAAGAACACCCGUUGAUAGGCUCUACGUGGAAGCGCAGUAAUGUGUGAAGCGGAGGAGUACUAAUAGACCGAGGGCUUGACC